rnacentral:lncRNA from 1 species
AAACCAACAUGAGAUUUCAUAUAUUGUGAUUCUCUAUAGAUGCCAUUAAAAAAUCAAAAUACAAAAACAAGCACAAUCCUAACUCAAAACUGCUAAUACCUAUGUAAUCAGUUUAUGUUAUAGAAUCUUCAAGUAUUAAAAUUAAGAAUUCCAAGUAUUUGUGUGGAUUGUAGUUUGACCAAAACCUCACUUUGAUCCUUACUGUAUCAAUUUAAAUAAUUUUAAUUCUGCAAUUUUAUUUUGGUUUGUGAGUGCGUGAAGCUCACUUGCAUAGUCCUUUUGAGUGAGUAAUUUUAUCAAUAUUAGUCAUUGUUGUGAGACCCUAAUCCUUAAAUUUUAUAAUUAGCUUACUUAGAUAUAUAUUUGGAUAAGGCAAUUAUGCUAAUUGAAGUGUUUCAUUAACUUAGUUUAAUGAAUGGGAGUGUGGUGGGAUUUAAUAUUUUUUAAAACAUUAAUUAGUGGGUGAUAAUUAACUUAAUCAUGACUAAAUUCCUUAGCCUAAGUGAGAUUUAAUUAUAUUGAGGUGCAUGUGUGAAACAUGUGUGGGGUGUGUGGAGUGUCGUGGGAGUGUGUGUAAGUGGGGUUUCAAAUUGAAAAACGUCAAAAACUUUUGAAAUGAAAUUAAAGAGAUUUCAAAAUUAGAGAAAAAAUGUGUAAUUUUAAAAAGAAAAAAAACAAUUUGGCUUAGUCAGAGGGCACCCGUGUUCGCCCUAUCCUGUUCAUUGUACAGUAUAUGUAUAUGUAAUGAUUAUAAUCUAGAGAAUAGAAAAGGAAAAGAAAAAAAAAAGAAAGAACAGAUAGAAGGAGAAAAAAAGAAGGAGAUCGAGAGAUGGGAGAGAAAAAUUGAGAGAGAAGAGAGGAGAGCGAUGAGGGAAAGGGAGGAAGAAAGAAAUUCUAUUUGCAGGUAAUUGUAACUCUCUGUUCUUUGAAUUUUUCUUUGAAUUUAUUAAAUUGAGUUAUUAGAAAUUUGUUAGGAAUAUGAAUCGAAAUCUAAUGUUAUAUGAUAACAUCACAAGUUUAUAUGUAACUAUCCCAAGUUCUGCCCACCAACAUUCAAAUCAACAGGAAAGCCACCACAGCCAUAGGACUAUGACCACAGGAACCAGACAGGCUAUCCAUAUAUCAUCACCUGACAAAACAAUCUGUGAGUGUGAGCUAAAUGUCAACGUGCUUUCUGUUGGUGUUUCUAAUGGCUUGCCACAAGCUGGAAAUAAUCCAGUGUGGUCGAGCAUGGCCGUAUGGGGUACCUUAGCAAAAAUUGCUCAACGGAGAAUUGGGUCGUGUGGAUAGUCGUUUUCUAUAUUUUUUAGUGUUCCGAAUUCGAUUAAUAGGGUCAAGUAACCUAAUUAUAAAGACAAAAUGACGCGUGCGGUCCAGACAGUGGUGAUACGGUAGGGGAGAGAUUCGGAGCGCGUUUUUUAAUUAUGUGAAAUAUUUUGUGAUAGGUGAUUAAAGCGGAUCAAAAUCAAAUUACUCUGGUUGAACGAAAGGAGUGACUCAAUCAAUUUGUACGGUGGGUAACAGGGGGGAUUAGAUGAUCUUAUUAUGACUGAAUUCUUGUCGUUAUACGGUCUGUGUAUAAAUAUUAUCUAUGAGGUGAUAUAUGAUUGAUGGUAGUGAUUUAUAUUUAUGAGAUACUUAUAUAUCAUGUUGAUAAUGAUAAAAUAUGAGGUGGCAGCUGGAACUUAAAUACAGAUAGUCUUAUCAUAUUGAAUUGAUUGUCUUUGAUGACAUGUGGGUGUUGAUAUAUAUACAUGAGGUGAAAUGCUAUAUUGUUGGUUGAUGAUAAAUAUAUAUAUGAUGAGGUGAUAUAUGAUUGAUGGUGGUGAUUAAUUUAUGAGAUAUUAGAUAUCAUGUUGGAAAUGAUAUACAUAUGAUGGGGUGGCAGAUGGAAAAUUAAAUACAGAUAGUCUUAUCAUAUGAAUUGAUUGUCUUUGAGGACAUGGGUGGGGGAUGUUGAUAUAUAUACAGAGGUGGAAAGAAUGAUAUAUUGUUGGUGAUGAUAAAUAUAUUAUGAGGUGAUAUAUGAUUGAUGGUGCGUGAUUAAUUCAUGAGAUGAUUAAUAUCAUGUUGAUAAUGAUAUACAUAUGAGGUGGGUGGCAGUUGGGAAAUUAAAAUAUAUGAUUAAUCUUAUUCAUAUGAAUUGCUUAUCUUUUAUACGAUUGAUGUACUGAUUAUAUUUAUGAGGUUAUUCAUAUAUGAGGUUAAUUGAAAUGAGGUGAUAUGGCAAGCAUAUCAUUUAUCUUGUGUGUUUGCAUUGACACUGAUGAAAGUAACAUGGUGGGUUAACUAAGGCCUAGGUCACGGUUGGACUAGGCCUAAGGGUGUCACAGGGGCAUUCCUUGAUAACGAGCCGUCGAUUUUGGGCCAACGUUAUCUAAACGUACGCGCACAUGUGGGUGAUCAUUAUUGAAUUGCAUUCGUUAUUUGCUGGGAAUCUAUGAUGUAUGGCGCUCUUUCCCCAUUUAUAUGAAUUUGAUUAUCGAUCGUGAACAUGUUG